rnacentral:tRNA from 1 species
GGGCCGGUAGUUCAGCUCGGUUAAAAUUCUCCCAUGGCAUGGGAGAGACAUGGGUUCAAAUCCCGUCCGGUCCA